CGUCCCCAUGUCCCCACUGCCCCACGCUGUCCCCACAUUGUCCCCACUGCCCCACGCUGUCCCCAUUGUCCCCAGUGUUCCCCAUUGUCCUCCAUUGUCCCCCAUUGUCCCCAUUGACCCCCACUGUCCCCAAAUGCCCCCCCGUGUUGUCCCCACUCACCCCCAUUGUCCCCCAUGGACUCACACUGUCCCCACUGCACCUCAUUGUCCCCCAAUGUCCCUGUUGUCCCCACUGACCCCAUUGUCCCCCAUGGUCCCACACUGUCCCCAUUGUCCCCACUGUCCCCAUUGUCCCCCAAUAUCCCCAUUGUCCCCCAUGGACCCACACUGUCCCCAUUGUCCCCAGUGCCCCCACUGACCCACACUGUCCCCACUGUCCCCAUUGCACCUCAUUGUCCCCACUGUCCCCCAUUGUCCCCAGUGUCCCCAUUGACUACCACUGUCCCCAUUGUCCCCAUUGCACCUCAUUGUCCCCAAUGUCCCCACUGUCCCCAUUGACCCCCACUGACCCACAUUGUCCCCAGUGUCCCCCAUUGUCCCCCACUGUCCCCAUUGACCCCCACUGACCCACACUGUCCCCAUUGUCCCCACUGACCCACAUUGUCCCCCACUGUCCCCAUUGACCCGCACUGACCCCCAAUGUCCCCAUUGCACCCCAGUGUCCCCCAUUAACCCCCACUGUCCCCAUUGACCCCCACUGACCCACACUGUCCCCACUGUCCCCAUUGCACCUCAUUGUCCCCAAUGUCCCCCUUUGUCCCCACUGACCCACAUUGUCCCCCAUUGACCCCCACUGACCCACACUGUCCCCAUUGUCCCCAGUGCCCCCACUGACCCACAUUGACCCCCACUGUCCCCAUUAACCCCCAUUAUCCCCAUUGACCCACCCUGUUCCCAUGGACCCCCCACUGUCCCCAUUGUCCCCAGUGUCCCCCAGUGUCACAAUGGGACACGUGUCCCCAGCAGUCCUCCAAUGUCACACCCAGACACGUGUCCCCAACAGUCCUCCAAUGUCACACCGGGACACGUGUCCCCAACAAUCCCCCGGUGUCACAAUGGGCCACGUGUCCCCAGCAGUCCGCCGGUGUCACACUGGGCCAGGCAUCCCCAACAGUCCCCUGGUGUCACACCAGGACACGUGUCCCCAACAGCCCCCCACUGUCACAAUGGGACACGUGUCCCCAACAAUCCGCCGGUGUCACACCAGGACACGUGUCCCCAACAGUCCAUCAGUGUCACAAUGGGACACAUGUCCCCAACAGUCCCUCGGUGUCACACCAGGACACGUGUCCCCCAACAGUCCCCCAAUGUCACACACGGACACAUGUCCCCAGCAGUCCUCCAACAUCACAGGGGGGCCACGUGUCCCCAGCAGUCCCCCGGUGUCACACCGGGCCACGUGUCCCCAGCAGUCCCCCGGUGUCACGAUGGGCCAUGCGUCCCCAUUGUCAGACGAGGACGUGCGCCACGGGCACCUUGGUGGGGCGGCCGCCCCGUGGCACCAGGAGGUCCCCGUCCGCGUCCUCGGCGCUCACCGGCGGCUCUGGGGACAGGGGACAGCGUUAGGGGGCACGGGGGGGGGACAGGGGGUGACACAUGGGGUGACACGGUGACACACAUGGGGGACAAACGGGUGACAAGGGGGGACGUGGUGGUGACACAUGGGGUGACGUGGUGACACACACCGGGGACAGAUGGGUGACACAUGGGGUGAUGCGGUGGUGACACACAUGGGGGACAAACAGGUGACACAUGGGGUGACGUGGUGGUGACACAUGGGGUGACGUGGUGACACACAUGGGGGACAGGUGACAAGGGGUGACGUGGUGGUGACACAUGGGGUGAUGUGGUGGUGACACACAUGGGGGACAGAUGGGUGACACGGGGUGACAUGGUGACACACAUGGGGGACAGACAGGUGACAAGGGGUGACAUGGUGGUGACACAUGGGGUGACGUGGUGACACACAUGGGGGACAAACAGGUGACACAUGGGGUGACACGGUGACACACAUGGGGGACAGACGGGUGACACAUGGGGUGACACGGUGACGCACAUGGGGGACAAACGGGUGACACAUGGGGUGACACGGUGACACACAUGGGGGACAGACGGGUGACACAUGGGGUGACGUGGUGGUGACACAGGGGACUUGCACGGGGGGAUGUGGGGGACAUGCAGGUGACAUUGGGGUGACAGAUCACAAGGGGUGACAAGGAGGUGACAUACAAGUGACACAGAGGUGACACGUAGGGGUGACAAGUCACAAGGGGGGGACACGGGGGUGACACGGGGGGGUGACACCUAGGGGUGACGUGGAGGACACACGAGUGACACGGAGGUGACACCAAGGGUGACAGGUCACAAGGGGGGGACACGGGG
ensembl:lncRNA